CAAGGCUUCAUUUACCAAUAUGAGUAUGUGCUGAUUCGCUCCCUUAGCUGUUCCACCUCAGAAGAACUGCAUCCAAUCCUUCAGUGAGAAGGAAGAGAACAAGGAUAGUGCCCUGCCUCUGAACAACCUACAACAGGGGUGGACAACUCCAGCACUGAGCUCCUGCUGCUGGCCAUGGAUUUCUGGAUAUCUUUUAAAACGAUGACUGAAAACAUCAUACAGCAGUAGAAGAUUUCAGAUGAGAAAUAUUGUAACUCAGUUCUGAAUCGUUAUCUACAAAGGUGGAGUAUGUUUUUCCUUUGUAAAGGAAUACUAGGCUGGUAGAGUGCUACAUGCUGUUGUUUUUUAUAUGUU
rnacentral:lncRNA from 1 species